GAUGAACGCUGGCGGCGUGCCUAAUACAUGCAAGUCGAGCGAACGGACGAGAAGCUUGCUUCUCUGAUGUUAGCGGCGGACGGGUGAGUAACACGUGGAUAACCUACCUAUAAGACUGGGAUAACUUCGGGAACCCGGAGCUAAUACCGGAUAAUAUUUUGAACCGCAUGGUUCAAAAGUGAAAGACGGUCUUGCUGUCACUUAUAGAUGGAUCCGCGCUGCAUUAGCUAGUUGGUAAGGUAACGGCUUACCAAGGCAACGAUGCAUAGCCGACCUGAGAGGGUGAUCGGCCACACUGGAACUGAGACACGGUCCAGACUCCUACGGGAGGCAGCAGUAGGGAAUCUUCCGCAAUGGGCGAAAGCCUGACGGAGCAACGCCGCGUGAGUGAUGAAGGUCUUCGGAUCGUAAAACUCUGUUACUAGGGAAGAACAUAUGUGUAAGUAACUGUGCACAUCUUGACGGUACCUAAUCAGAAAGCCACGGCUAACUACGUG
rnacentral:rRNA from 1 species